rnacentral:piRNA from 1 species
GACCUAGAUUGGAAAAAGUGCCCUUC